rnacentral:misc_RNA from 1 species
GAUGAAGAACGUAGCGAAAUGCGAUAAGUAAUGCGAAUUGCAGAAUUCAGUGAAUCAUCGAAUCUUUGAACGCACAUUGCGCCCGCCAGUAUUCUGGCGGGCAUGCCUGUUCGAGCGUCAUUUCAACCAUCAAGCCCCCGGCUUGUGUUGGGGACCUGCGGCUGCCGCAGGCCCUGAAAUGCAGUGGCGGGCUCGCUGUCACUCCGAGCGUAGUAGUUACAUCUCGCUCUGAGCGUGCUGCGGGUUCCGGCCGUUAAAAGCCUUAUUUACCCAAGGUUGACCUCGGAUCAGGUAGGAAGACCCGCUGAACUUAAGCAUAUCAAUAAGCGGAGGA